UACUCGGUCAGCUGAGCGAGCGCGGCUGUCGGCUCACGGCGUACCACGACACAAAGCGAUAUGAGCGGCCGAUGGCGUGCCUCCAAGUUCAUCGUACAGCGUCCGUGAUGGCGAAUCUUCGUGCCUUCAAGCAGUGUGAACCCCCCAGAAGCGAAGGCAUCAACGCGGCGGGCUCGCAACACACCAGCAGCUCGGGCUCUCCGCCAAGACCUUGCGGCGUGAACCUGGGAGGCCGAGGUGAAGAGGGCUCGUCGUCAAGCUAACCCGGAGAUGCAGCCCAGUGAAGCAAAAGUGAAGCGGGUGCGCCGUCAAGCACACACGCCACGUCUUUAUGUGAUGGUAAAGGAAUGUGUACGGAGGAUUCACGGGUUAACCCUCUAACACCAUUCACUUGGUCGAUAUGGCAGUGACUUCUUGUUGCAUUAUGACUUGUUUCAAAUAAUAGUUAUAUUCAUAACAAAAAAACGAAACAAGGGUUUAAAAUACUAUCAGCGCCACUU